ensembl:lncRNA
CCUCAUACACUACUCAAUGAAGCAAAGAAGCAAACAAGAACAAGAACAGAACUACUCAACUGGUUAUUUCCAUGAUUCCUAAAAAUUACUAAAAUGCUUUUUCAAAAGGUAGAAUGGAUGUUUAAUGCAAGGCUUGAAGAGAUACUGGGGUGCCUUUUUCUGAUUCUGCCUGACACACACACACACACUCUAAAAAAAAAAAAAAAAAGAGUCUGCUGGAGUAUGGCACUGUGACUUGAACUGAAUGAGAAAUAAUUAGCUGUUAUGGUUAUGGAUGAAGAUAUUGAACAAGACCAGACCCAGUACCAACCCCUGCGGAGCACUGCUAGCUACAAACCUCCAAAUAGACUCUUCACCACUGAUCACAACACUCUGAGCUCUCAGUUAUCUCAGUCAUCCAGUUAUCAGUGCUCCUCACUGUCCACUCAUCUAUCCCACACUUCCACUUACCUACAAGGAUGUUACGGAAUACAGUAUCAGAAGCCUUGUUGAAGUUGUGUUACACAAUAUCCAUUACUCUCUACUCAUCCACCCGGUCAAUGAUCACAUCAUAGAAGGCUAUCAGGUUG